rnacentral:lncRNA from 1 species
AGAGGAGAAGAAGAAGAGGAGUAGGAGGAGGAGGAGGAGGAGGAGAAGAAAAAGAAGAAGAAGAAGAAGAAAAAGAAGAAGAAGAAGAAGAAGAAGCGGAGAAGAAAAAAAUAAGAAGGAGAAGAAGAAGAAGAAGAAGAAGAAGAAGAAGAGAAGAAAAAAUAAGAAGGAGAAGAAGUAAAGAAGAAGAGAAUAAGAAAAAAAUACGAAGGAGAAGAAGAGAAAAAAGAAGAAGAAGUUGAUUUUUUAUUGUUUGGUAUUUA